GACGUAGGGCGCGAGCGUUGUCCGGAUUUAUUGGGCGUAAAGAGCUCGUAGGCGGCUUGUCGCGUCGGCUGUGAAAACUCGGGGCUCAACCCCGAGCCUGCAGUCGAUACGGGCAGGCUGGAGUCCGGCAGGGGAGACUGGAAUUCCUGGUGUAGCGGUGAAAUGCGCAGAGAUCAGGAGGAACACCCGUAGCGAAGGCGGCACUCUGGGCCGGAACUGACGCUGAGGAGCGAAAGCGUGGGUAGCGAACAGG
rnacentral:rRNA from 1 species